rnacentral:rRNA from 1 species
ACUCAAAGGAAUUGACGGGGGCCCGCACAAGCGGUGGAGCAUGUGGUUCAAUUCGAUGCUACGCGCAGAACCUUACCAGGCCUUGACAUGGGAAGUAUGGGACGGAGAGAUCUGUCCCUUCAGUUCGGCUGGCUUCCACACAGGUGCUGCAUGGCUGUCGUCAGCUCGUGUCGUGAGAUGUUGGGUUAAGUCCCGCAACGAGCGCAACCCUCACCUUCAGUUGCCAUCAGGUUAAGCUGGGCACUCUGAAGGAACUGCCGGUGACAAGCCGGAGGAAGGCGGGGAUGACGUCAAGUCCUCAUGGCCCUUACGGCCUGGGCUACACACGUGCUACAAUGGCAGUGACAAUGGGAUGCUACUUCGCGAGAAGAUGCCGAUCCUAAAAAGCUGUCUCAGUUCAGAUUGCACUCUGCAACUCGAGUGCAUGAAGGCGGAAUCGCUAGUAAUCGUGGAUCAGCAUGCCACGGUGAAUACGUUCCCGGGCCUUGCACACACCGCCCGU